rnacentral:rRNA from 1 species
GAUGAACGCUGGCGGCGUGCCUAAUACAUGCAAGUCGAGCGAACGGACGAGAAGCUUGCUUCUCUGAUGUUAGCGGCGGACGGGUGAGUAACACGUGGAUAACCUACCUAUAAGACUGGGAUAACUUCGGGAAACCGGAGCUAAUACCGGAUAAUAUUUUGAACCGCAUGGUUCAAAAGUGAAAGACGGUCUUGCUGUCACUUAUAGAUGGAUCCGCGCUGCAUUAGCUAGUUGGUAAGGUAACGGCUUACCAAGGCAACGAUGCAUAGCCGACCUGAGAGGGUGAUCGGCCACACUGGAACUGAGACACGGUCCAGACUCCUACGGGAGGCAGCAGUAGGGAAUCUUCCGCAAUGGGCGAAAGCCUGACGGAGCAACGCCGCGUGAGUGAUGAAGGUCUUCGGAUCGUAAAACUCUGUUAUUAGGGAAGAACAUAUGUGUAAGUAACUGUGCACAUCUUGACGGUACCUAAUCAGAAAGCCACGGCUAACUACGUGCCAGCAGCCGCGGUAAUACGUAGGUGGCAAGCGUUAUCCGGAAUUAUUGGGCGUAAAGCGCGCGUAGGCGGUUUUUUAAGUCUGAUGUGAAAGCCCACGGCUCAACCGUGGAGGGUCAUUGGAAACUGGAAAACUUGAGUGCAGAAGAGGAAAGUGGAAUUCCAUGUGUAGCGGUGAAAUGCGCAGAGAUAUGGAGGAACACCAGUGGCGAAGGCGACUUUCUGGUCUGUAACUGACGCUGAUGUGCGAAAGCGUGGGGAUCAAACAGGAUUAGAUACCCUGGUAGUCCACGCCGUAAACGAUGAGUGCUAAGUGUUAGGGGGUUUCCGCCCCUUAGUGCUGCAGCUAACGCAUUAAGCACUCCGCCUGGGGAGUACGACCGCAAGGUUGAAACUCAAAGGAAUUGACGGGGACCCGCACAAGCGGUGGAGCAUGUGGUUUAAUUCGAAGCGACGCGAAGAACCUUACCAAAUCUUGACAUCCUUUGACAACUCUAGAGAUAGAGCCUUCCCCUUCGGGGGACAAAGUGACAGGUGGUGCAUGGUUGUCGUCAGCUCGUGUCGUGAGAUGUUGGGUUAAGUCCCGCAACGAGCGCAACCCUUAAGCUUAGUUGCCAUCAUUAAGUUGGGCACUCUAAGUUGACUGCCGGUGACAAACCGGAGGAAGGUGGGGAUGACGUCAAAUCAUCAUGCCCCUUAUGAUUUGGGCUACACACGUGCUACAAUAGACAAUACAAAGGGCAGCGAAACCGCGAGGUCAAGCAAAUCCCAUAAAGUUGUUCUCAGUUCGGAUUGUAGUCUGCAACUCGACUACAUGAAGCUGGAAUCGCUAGUAAUCGUAGAUCAGCAUGCUACGGUGAAUACGUUCCCGGGUCU